rnacentral:rRNA from 1 species
CCUACGGGUGGCAGCAGUGAGGAAUAUUGGUCAAUGGGCGCGAGCCUGAACCAGCCAAGUAGCGUGAAGGAUGACUGCUCUACGGGUUGUAAACUUCUUUUAUAAAGGAAUAAAGUGAGGCUCUUGUGCCUCUUUGUAUGUACUUUAUGAAUAAGGAUCGUCUAACUCCGUGCCAGCAGCCGCGGUAAUACGGAGGAGCCGAGCGUUAUCCGGAUUUAUUGGGUUUAAAGGGAGCGUAGAUGGGUGGUUAAGUCAGUUGUGAAAGUUUGCGGCUCAACCGUAAAAUUGCAGUUGAUACUGGCAGCCUUGAGUACAGUUGAGGUAGGCGGAAUUCGUGGUGUAGCGGUGAAAUGCUUAGAUAUCACGAAGAACUCCGAUGGCGAAGGCAGCUUACUAAACUGCCACUGACAUUGAUGCUCGAAAGUGUGGGUAGCAAACAGGAUUAGAUACCCCUGUAGUC